AUCUCUUGAGUGUUUUGCUCUAAAUUCCUAGUCACACUAUGUGGGGAAUUCUGUUUAUAAUUUUGAGUUUAGGACUUCUGGUGAAUCUAUAGUUGCUAAGACAGUGGCUGGCUAAUUUGAAGACAUCAUGCUUUUGGUGUUUGGAUUUAUGACAUUAUCAGCACUGGCUAAUGGAUUGGAGAACCAUUGCGAUGUUACAGAGGUUGGAGUUCACUGUUAUGGAGCUCUGGGUGGAACUGUCUAUCUCCGUCUGGUCACUGAUAACAUCGAAUAUACUGAAAUCUAUUUAAAAAAAGAUCCCUCUGGUAAAUCUAUAGAACUUUUCAAAAGAAAAAACAAUGUAAACGUCAUGAAUGGAUCUAUCAAUGCUAGAUCAGAAUUCUUUAUCAACAAUGGGACAUUGAAGAUAACAAAUAUACAAAGGAGUGAUGCUGGUGAAUAUUCCUCAGAAACAUUUAAUUAAUUUGGAACAUCCCUCACCUGCCUAAGAUUUCAACUGUCCAUUGAAGAUGCUAAUGGAAGCCAAGAACUGGAAUAUGCUGACAUCACUGUUGUGAAGAAGAGGAAAGUGAGGAAGGUUCAGGAGGAGGUGGAGUAUGGACAGGUUGUAGUGUUGGAGGGUUCCAGAUCAAACACAAUGAGAGACAGACCUACUGGGCAGGAAAAUACUAUUUAUGCUGGAAUAAAGCCUGGCCAGUGAAUGGGAGGUUCUUCAGUACAGACUGGAGUUGCUACAUUUGUCAGUUUUUCUCUACAUAUUCCAUCUUUCUUGUAUUCAACAUUUCUUUAAUGUUGUGAAUAUUUCUUCACAUUCACAGUUUAUGUUUAUGUUCAUUGUUUACCAAAAUAAAGAA